GACGAACGCUGGCGGCGUGCUUAACACAUGCAAGUCGAACGGAAAGGCCCUUCGGGGUACUCGAGUGGCGAACGGGUGAGUAACACGUGGGUGAUCUGCCCUGCACUUUGGGAUAAACCUGGGAAACUGGGUCUAAUACCGAAUAGGACCACGCGCUUCAUGGUGUGUGGUGGAAAGCUUUUGCGGUGUGGGAUGGGCCCGCGGCCUAUCAGCUUGUUGGUGGGGUAAUGGCCUACCAAGGCGACGACGGGUAGCCGGCCUGAGAGGGUGACCGGCCACACUGGGACUGAGAUACGGCCCAGACUCCUACGGGAGGCAGCAGUGGGGAAUAUUGCACAAUGGGCGCAAGCCUGAUGCAGCGACGCCGCGUGAGGGAUGACGGCCUUCGGGUUGUAAACCUCUUUCACCAGGGACGAAGCGUAAGUGACGGUACCUGGAGAAGAAGCACCGGCCAACUACGUG
rnacentral:rRNA from 1 species